rnacentral:rRNA from 1 species
GGCUCAGGAUGAACGCUAGCGGCAGGCUUAACACAUGCAAGUCGAGGGGUAUAGUUCUUCGGAAUUAGAGACCGGCGCACGGGUGCGUAACGCGUAUGCAAUCUACCUUUCACAGAGGGAUAGCCCAGAGAAAUUUGGAUUAAUACCUCAUAGUAUAGCGGUUUCGCAUGAAACCACUAUUAAAGUCACAACGGUGAAAGAUGAGCAUGCGUCCCAUUAGCUAGUUGGUAAGGUAACGGCUUACCAAGGCAACGAUGGGUAGGGGUCCUGAGAGGGAGAUCCCCCACACUGGUACUGAGACACGGACCAGACUCCUACGGGAGGCAGCAGUGAGGAAUAUUGGACAAUGGGCGCAAGCCUGAUCCAGCCAUGCCGCGUGCAGGAUGACGGUCCUAUGGAUUGUAAACUGCUUUUAUACAGGAAGAAACACUACUUCGUGAAGUAGCUUGACGGUACUGUAAGAAUAAGGAUCGGCUAACUCCGUG